rnacentral:rRNA from 1 species
GACGAACGCUGGCGGCGUGCCUAAUACAUGCAAGUUGAGCGCUGAAGGUUGGUACUUGUACCAACUGGAUGAGCAGCGAACGGGUGGGUAACGCGUGGGGAAUCUGCCUUUGAGCGGGGGACAACAUUUGGAAACGAAUGCUAAUACCGCAUAAAAACUUUAAACACAAGUUUUAAGUUUGAAAGAUGCAAUUGCAUCACUCAAAGAUGAUCCCGCGUUGUAUUAGCUAGUUGGUGAGGUAAAGGCUCACCAAGGCGAUGAUACAUAGCCGACCUGAGAGGGUGAGAGGCCACAAUGGGAAUUAGACACGGCCCAAACUCCUACGGGAGGCAGCAGUAGGGGAUCUUCGGCAAUAGACGAAAGUCUGAACGGGCAACGCCGCGGGAGUGAAGAAGGUUUUCGGAUCGUAAAACUCUGUUGAUAGAGAAGAACGAUGGGGAGAGUGAAAAGCUCAUCAAGUGACGGUAACUAACCAGAAAGGGACGGCUAACUACGUG